rnacentral:lncRNA from 1 species
GAUUCACUGACUCGUUGUUUAUUUGUGAAUACGGUAAGUUGAUAUAAAGAUUUACUUUAAGUCUGUAAAGGUGAUAUUACUACUACUACUACUAAUAGUAAUGUGAAUAAUAGAAUUAUGUGAACCUCUCGAUGUUACAGUAAUUAUUUUUCGAAGCGGGAACCUGACAACAAUUAGGAAAAUAUAAUUUGCUCGUCUUAAUUAAUAACUUCCAAACUGAAAUAUUGAUCUGUUGUUUAGGAAAACCUAUGAUCGUCUGUUACAUGUGAUAUAAAGGAAAUUAGGCAUUCCUUCGAUAUAGCCCGACAUGGUCGAGACGUUUCACUUCGGGUAUUUCCGUGGGUUGUGGAGUAAAGAUGUAACGAAAUUAUAUCCAGCAAUGUCACAUUUUAAACUUGAAGAAAAAAGCCUUGCACAUUUGUUCUUACUUGUUCCAUGUGUGUAUAUAAAAUCCACAAAUUUCCAAGCAGAAAACAGAAUCGAACUGUUAUUUGCAUCCACGGAAAUACCCGAAGUGAAACGUUUUGAUGUUGUCGAGUUAAAUCGAAAGAAUAUAUAUAUAUAUACAUAUAUAUAUAUAUAUAUAUAUUUUCUUAUUUCUUUAUUCCCCACAAGGGGCUAAACACGGAGAGGACAAACAAGGACAGACAAAUGGAUUAAGUCGAUUAUAUCAAUCCCAGUGCGUAAAUGAUACGUAGUUAAUUUAAAUAUUGAUGGUGAUUUGAUAUCGGGCAUCAAUAUAAUGUAAAAGCGCCGACAUCCGCUUUCAAAUUGUGAGUUGGGCCCAAACGCACAUGCAUAUGACACGUUUGUUCCACUUCCCUUCUACGAAAACCACUCACAAGGCCUUAUUCUGCCCAAGGCUAUAAUAGAAGACUCUCGCCCAAGAUGCCACAUAGUGGGACUGAACCCAGAGCCAUGUGAUUUGGAAGCAAGCUUCUUACCACACGGCCAUAAAUGUUUAAAGCUCACUCAGUGUCAUUGUUACAAAUUUCUCUCGUUAAUUGUUGAACAGCCUAAUUUUGUGAGGUUAUUAUACUUACACUUUUACUCCUUUACUUGUUUCAGUCAUUUCACUGUGGCCAUGCUGGAGCACUGCCUUUAGUCGGGCAAAACGACCCCAGGACUUAUUCUUUGUUAACCUAGUACUUAUUCUAUUGGUCUCUUUUGCCGACCUGCUAAACACACCAAUAUCAGUUGUCAAGUGAUGUUGGGGGGACAAACACAGGCACAAAUACAUAUAUAUAUAUAUACGACGGGCUUCUUUCAGUUUUCGUCUACCAAAUCCACUCGCAAGGCAUUAGUCGCCCUGAGGCUAUAGUAGACACUUGCCCAGGGUGCCAUGCAAUGGGACUGAACCCGGAACCAUGUGGUUUGUAAGCAAGCUACUUACCACACAGCCACUCCUUUGCAUCAUCAUCAUUGAAUGCACCAAUCCGAUUGUGGCUGUUGCCAGCCUUGCCUGGCACCUGUGCCGGUGGCAUGUAGAAAGCACCCACUACGCUCAUGGAGUGGUUGGCGUUAGGAAGGGAAACCAGCUGUAGAAACACUGCCAGAUCAGACUGGAGCCUGGUGCAGCCUUCUGGCUUCCCAGAUCCCCGGUCGAACCGUCCAACCCAUGCUAGCAUGGAGAACGGACGUUAAACGACGACGAUGAUGAUUGUUUAACAUCCUCCUUCCGUGCUGGCAGGGGUUGGACAGUUUGCAAGGGACUGGCCAGGCAGAAAACUGCCCCAGACUUCUGUAUCUGUUUUGGCACAGUUUUUCCAGCUGGAUGCCCUUCACAGCACCAGCCAUCCUGCAGAAUGGAGUGAGUGCUUUUUACGUGGCACCACCACAGGCGAGGUCAGUUUUGUCGUAGUUUUUACAGCUGGAUAUAUUUCCAAAUAUUCCAAGAUAAGGAGAAGAGGCUUGAAUCCUCAAAGACAUACUUUAUCUCGAAAGAAUCCAGAAGCUGGCUACCUGCAUGGUUCUUGGUCUCAAGCAUUUGUCUUAUGAAUAAAGGCUGAAGACGCUCGACCUUUAUUCUCUCAAAAAACGACGACGCCGUGGUGAUCUCAUUCUUGCCCACAACAUCAUAAGCGGAAAGUGUAACCUCUCGAAAGAGUUGUUCUUCACUCCUGCUCCAGAGCGUCGGCUUCAGGGUCACUCCUAAAAGCUCUAUCUGCGAUGAUUUCAUCUCAAUUGAAGGAGAGGGGUUUUCUCCGUCCGGGUUGCGGAUCCGUGGAUUAAGCUGCCGAACGAGAUAGUGAAGAUGCCGACGACCGCUCGGUUCAAAGUCUCUCUUGACCAGAGAUGGCAUGAACACCACCCUGUACAUAACUCCAUGUCCCCCUACAUGGCCUUGCUUUUUGCUUUUUGAGCCAAAAAAUUAACUUAACUUAAAUGCCAACCACUUUGCAGUGUGAACUGUAUGCUCUCUACAGCUUGAUGCCCUUCCUAGCAUCAACCACCGAGUGUACUGUGUGCUUUUUAUGUGCCACCAGCAGCAAUGAGGCCCGCAGAGAAUAGGUGUGGCUAUGCAGUAAGACGUGUGCUUUCGUCUGUCGUUACAUUCAAAUUCCGCCAAGGUCGACUUUGCCUUUUAUCCUUUCAUGGCCAAUAAAUAAAGUACCAGUUUUGCACUGGGGUCGAAGUAAUCGACUUAAUCCCUUUGUCUGUCCUUAUUUGUCUCCUCUGUGUUUAGCCCCUUGUGGGUAAUAAAGAAAUAGGUAUUUCAUCUGCCGUUACAUUCUGAGUUCAAAUUCCGCCGAGGUCGACUUUACCUUUCAUCCUUUCGGGGUCGAUAAAUAAAGCACCAGUUUCGCACUGGGGUCAUAGUAAUCGACUUAAUCCCUUUGUCUGUCCUUGUUUGUUCCCUCUAUGUUUAGCCCCUUGUGGGUAGGAAAGAAAUAUAUGCAGUAAGAAGUGUGCUUCUCAGCCCAUCGUUGCAGGUCAGGUGUCUUCAACUGUAGCCUUCAGCCAACUAAAGUUGUGUGAGAGAUAUGGUAGACAGAAACUGAAAGAAGCCUAUCGUGUGUGUGUGUGUGGUCAAAUGUACAGAAAGCAAAAGACGAAGACGUGUGAGGAAAUGACAAGCAGAUGUAUUUGUUUAACACUCAGGAAGAAUGGGAAAGUUUUUGAUGUUUUGAGCAUAUGCUUUUCAAGAGAAAGGGAUGAGAGGAAACCACAGGGAGAGAGAGAGAGAAAUAAAGGGGCCAGAUUAUUGGUUCACAUGUUGAAAUGAUAUAUAUACUCUUUUACUUGUUUCAGUCAUUUGACUGCGGCUAUGCUGGAGCACCGCCUUUAGUUGAGCAAAUCGACCCUGGGACUUAUUCUUUUGCAAGCCCAGUACUUAUUCUAUCAGUCUCUUUUGCUGAACCGCUAGGUGACGCGGACAUAAACACACCAGCAUCGGUUGUCAAGCAAUGCUAGGGGGACAAACACACACACAUAUACAUAUAUACGACAGGCUUCUUUCAGUUUCCGUCUACCAAAUCCACUCACAAGGCUUUGGUCGACCCGAGGCUAUACUAGAAGACACUUGCCCAAGAUGCCACGCAGUGGGACUGAACCCGGAACCCUGUGAUUGGUUAGCAAGCUACUUACCACACAGCCACUCCUGCGCAAAGAUUCACCAAUUGUGAGGUAAGUGCCCUACCGCCUAAGCCACACCACUUCUGAGGUGAAACAAGUGAAAGGAGAGAAGAGAAAGAAAAGAGAUAAAUAAUUAGAGAAAGGUAGAGACGAUUCAUCUAUAUACAGAAUGUUGUAAAACUUUCAAUGUCUCAAUGGAUUCUGACCUAUGCAAACACAGACAUUAAAUGGAUGACGGUGUUGAUGUUGUAAGAUUUGCAGUGUUGAAUUAUUAUGUCACUUAACUAUUCUCUUUAUCUCACUGCUUCUUUUUCUAUUUCAGAAUAUCACAUCAUGUUGACGUAAAAGAAAUUUCUUCAUUCAGAUGUACCUUUGAUAUUUUGAUUGACUUUCAUCAAUUAAAGGAAGACCAUGUAUUCAUAAGGCACAUUCAUCAACGCAUCAACCUCUUUAUACGAAUAAAAUCUUCAAUGAACGAUGGGAAAAUAAUUCUUCUGGACAAUGGAAUUAACAGCAACAUUUUUGUUGUCUUCACUGUCUGGAAUGUAGAGAAGAUGAUUGCUUUAAAGCUUAAUUAAGCUUGCAUAACUUUACAAAGGAGUUGAUAGAUUAGAUAUUAAGUAAGAUCCCAGAUAAAAGAAACGGCAUUGAAUAUAGUGACUCAACUGAACACAAA